CUGACAGGGACCCUCCAGCCCUUUAUCUGGCUGAGCUCGGGAUCAGCCACAUCGAUGAGCAAGGGCAGACGUGGCAUCCACACACUCAUCUCGAGCUGGGCACUCAGAAAACUCUGAAGUUUUGCAGUCAACAGCCUCUUCUGACAUGCUGGAGGGUGGAAAGAUUUGGCACUGCUUCAAUGAAACCUCAAGUGUCAGACAUCUCCACCAUUUGUACAUCCAACCAAUUUUUUCAACCGCAGGCCAUGUAUAACUACACCAGCCCAGGACGUCUGAAUCCAACUUCUUCACCUGCCACCUGGACAGCUGAUGCAACAUUUAGUUUGCUCAACCAAAGAAUUUCUGCACAAACUGUCAGACACCGUCUCAGGAAAACUCAUCUGUGUGCUCAUUAUCCUCGCCAGUCUCUUGAUCUGACUGAAGAUGUUAUCGUGGCCAUUGUGAAUACUCAUCUUCUUUGGCAUCUGACUUCUUGGAGAAGUGUUCUCUUCAUGAAUGAGUUCCAGCUUACACUUCACUGGGCAGAUGGCAUAAGCUAUGGACAAUGAGUACAACUGCAUUUUUGAUGGCAACAUGAAUCGACAGAGAUACUGUGAAGAGAUCCUGAGAACCGUUGUCAUGUCAUUGAUCUGCUGCCAUUGCCUCAUGUUGCAGCAUGAAAAGCAUCACCUGUGAGAAGACUCACAGUGCAUGAGGCAAAUGGCCUUCACACCAGAUACUCACUGGUUUUCUUAUGUACCCCAUCCCUUGUUCUUUGGAGUAUCUGUGACCAAAAACAUGCACAUCUGUAACAACAGUUAUGCUGGACUGCUGGUUAUGCUAUUUACGGAUGUCUGUGAUUCAGGGCCUAAAAUAUGUCAUUUUUCAAAAUAAACCUGCACAUUUUGG